rnacentral:sRNA from 1 species
AGACCCUUCUAAGCCGGGGUCACCUAGCCAACUGACGUUGUUAGUGAACCCAACCUUGUUCACAAAUUAAAUUUAGCCAGCAGCGCCGCAUUGCUGCUGGCUUAUUUUUU